rnacentral:rRNA from 1 species
AAUGAACUUAGGCUUACGGUGGAGACCUAGGCACCCAGAGACGAAGAAGGGCGCAGAUACCGGCGAAACGCUCCGGGGAGUUGGCAACAAACUUUGAUCCGGAGAUCCCCGAAUAGGGCAACCUGUACAACUUCCAACAGAAUUCAUAAGUUGGAAAGAGGCAACCCAGUGAAUUGAAACAUCUUAGUAGCUGGAGGAAAAGAAAGCAAACGCGAUUCCCGUAGUAGCGGCGAGCGAACCGGGAACAGCCUAAACCCAUUUCCAUUAGGGAAUGGGGGUAGUGGGAAGACAUUAUAAAAAAUAGAAAAUAAGAGAAAUUUCUAAUCAGCGAAGCUGUUAAAAAUUUCUUCUCUUUAAAAAUUUUCUAAAAACGAAACAGCUGAAUCCUGUACCAUAGAUGGUGAAAGUCCAGUAGUUGAAAUGAAAAAAAACAAAAUGUCUUAUCCCGAGUAGCAUGGGACACGUGGAAUCCCGUGUGAAUCAGCGAGGACCACCUCGUAAGGCUAAAUACUCCUGGGUGACCGAUAGUGAAAUAGUACUGCGAAGGAAAGGUGAAAAGAACCCUCGUAUAGGGAGUGAAAUAGAACAUGAAACCGUAAGCUGACAAGCAGUGGGAGGUUAAGAGCUGACCGCGUGCCUGUUGAAGAAUGAGCCGGCGACUUAGAGGGAGUGGCAAAAAGGUUAAGGAGAAACAUCCGGAGCCAACGCGAAAGCGAGUCCGAAAAUUCGGCGAAGAAUUUGUCAUUUCCUCUGGACCCGAACCCGGGUGAUCUAAUCAUGACCAACAUGAAGCUUGGGUAACACUAAGUGGAGGUGUGCACCGACCGAUGUUGAAAAAUCGGCGGAUGAGUUGUGAUUAUGCGCAGAAAUUGCAAUCGAACUCGGAGCUAGCUGGAUCUCCCCGAAAUGCGUUGAGGCGCAGCGGCAACGACGAGCUAUCAUAAGGUAAAGCUACUGUUUCGAUGCGGGCUGCGAGAGCGGUACCAAAUCGUGGCAAACUCAGAAUGUAUGAUAUUGCCUACCGUUAGCCAGUGAGACCCAAGGUGAUAAGAUCUUCGGUCAAGAGGGAAACAGCCCAGAUCACCAGCUAAGGCCCCUAAAUGGUUUCUAAGUGGAAAAGGAUGUGAGAGUGCAGAAACAACCAGGAGGUUUGCUUAGAAGCAGCAAUUUCCUUGAAAGAGUGCGUAAUAGCUCACUGGUAAAGCGUUCUUGCGCCGAUAAUGGCCGGGACUAAGAAACCUGCCGAAGCUGUGAGAUUCUUAUAUAAGAAUCGGUAGGGGAGCGUUCCGUUAUUGGGUGAAGUUAUGGUGUAAACCAGAAUGGACAAAACGGAAGUGAGAAUGUCGGCUUGAGUAACGAAAACAUUGGUGAGAAUCCAAUGCCCCGAAAACCGUUGGGUUCCUCCACUAGGUUCGUCCAUGGGGGGUUAGUCAGGUCCUAAGGCUAGGCCGAAAGGCGUCGUCGAUGGCAAACAGGUUAAUAUUCCUGUACUGAUUCUAUUGGGAACAAGGGACGAAGAAGGCUAAACUGAGACUACUAAUGGAUUAUAGUGGAAGCGUCAAGGUGUUGAGAGUUAGAAGAAAAACUAAACUUGAGCUGAGGCGUUAUCCCGAUAACAAUCCUUCGGGGUUGUUGUCGUCAGUGAUGUCAUGCUUCCAAGAAAAGCUUGAGCUCCAUAACAAUAGAAUUACCUGUACCUAAAACCGACACAGGUAGGUGAGUAGAGAAUACUAAGGGGCGCGAGAGAACUCUCUCUAAGGAACUCGGCAAACUGGCCCCGUAACUUCGGAAGAAGGGGCGCCUUUAAUUUCAUUAAAGGUCGCAGUAAACAGGCCCAGGCAACUGUUUAUCAAAAACAUAGGUCUCCGCAAAGUCGAAAGACUAUAUAUGGGGGCUGACGCCUGCCCAGUGCCGGAAGGUUAAGGAAGUUGGUUAGAGAGCUUGUCUCUCGAAGCUGACGACCGAAGCCCCGGUGAACGGCGGCCGUAACUAUAACGGUCCUAAGGUAGCGAAAUUCAUUGUCGAGUAAGUUUCGACCUGCACGAAAGGUGUAAUGAUCUGGGCGCUGUCUCGGAGAGAGACUCGGUGAAAUAGACAUGUCCGUGAAGAUGCGGACUACCAAUACUAGGACAGAAAGACCCUAUGAAGCUUGACUGUAUCCUGGAAUUGAACUCGGGCUUUUCUUGCGCAGCCUAGGUGGGAGGCGUUGAAGGUCCCCUUCCGGGGGGGCUGGAGCCAUCAUUGAGAGACCACUCUGGAAGAGCUAGAGUUCUAAUGGUGAUCUUUGAAACAAGACACUUGACAGUUUCAGGUGGGCAGUUUUCCUGGGGCGGGAACCUCCCAAAGCGUAACGGAGGUGUGCAAAGGUUCUCUCAGUCUGGACGGAAAUCAGACAUUGAGUGUAAAGGCAAAAGAGAGCUUGACUGUAAGACCAACAAGUCGAGCAGGGGCGAAAGCCGGCCUUAGUGAUCCGACGGUGCCGUGUGGAAGGGCCGUCGCUCAACGGACAAAAGUUACUCUAGGGAUAACAGGCUGAUCUUCCCCAAGAGUUCAUAUCGACGGGAAGGUUUGGCACCUCGAUGUCGGCUCAUCACAUCCUGGAGCGGUAGUACGUUCCAAGGGUUGGGCUGUUCGCCCAUUAAAGUGGUACGUGAGCUGGGUUCAGAACGUCGUGAGACAGUUUGGUCCAUAUCCGGUAUUGGCGUAAGAGCAUUGAGAGGAGUCUUUCAUAGUACGAGAGGACCUGAAAGAAUGUGCCAAUUGUGUACCAGUUCUCAUUCCAAUGGGAAACGCUGGGUAGCUAUGCACAGAGACGAUAAAAGCUGACAGCAUCUAAGUUUGAAGCUCACCUCAAGAUGAGUGCUCUCUAAUUAGGUCGCGGGAAGAUCACCCGUUUUAUAGGCGUUAGGUCUACAGUCAGUAAUGGCUUGAGCUGAGACGUACUAAAGACCAAUUGAUU